CUGUUGCGGAAAGGAUCGAUUCGAGAACUCCGAUAUGACUACAAGUAAAUUGACCGAAACGAAAAAUAAAGUGAACACAAGGAUUUACGUGGUUCGGCUUUAAUGCCUACGUCCACGGGCAGAGGCGAAAAGAAAUUUCACUAUAACAAGAUGAAGAUUACAAGUGUUUUACACUCAAGACACAACCCGAGAACCUCACAACUCUCAACCCCUAUAGAAAACCCGAAAGCUAAAAUCCUAGCUUUCAAAGAACAAGCUUUGCUCUCUCUUAGUUUGGGAUGAUG
rnacentral:lncRNA from 1 species